UCUCGUUUUUCAUCUUCUCCACUAUGGUUGUCGUUCCCCAACAACAUUUUCUCCUUCGCUGCUUGUUUGCAUCUUCUCCACUAUAACUCUCGCUCCCAACCUUAAUUUCGCUUUCACCGCUAGUUCAUUUUGCAUUUUUCAUCUUCUGAAAAUGCACCCAACCCUAGUUUCGUCUUCACCGCUGGUUCAUUUGGCAUUUUGCAUCUUCCGAAAACGUAGAAAGGGUGAAAAAACAUCAUUUAGAUCCUAAUAUUAAUGUUCCCCACUUCUCUUUUCCAUCCAGAAAUCUUGUUGCAGAAGUUAGGAAAAAAUGGUUGCCUUGGACACUUUUUUCGUCGUUCUCUGGAUUUGACUAUUGUUUUAUCAACACUUCUACUUGUGAUAUCUAUGAAUAAUGACGGCAAAUAUCAAUCAGAUUUCUCUGUGGGACUAAAGGUAAUACUAGAAACUUCAUUGUAAUUGAUGGAAGUAUGGGAGAAACUUUGUUGGAAGGAGUUGUUAAGAGACAAGUAUAAGAGCAUAAAGUUGAGGAGUUUAAUGCCAUGGGAAAGGGAAGCGUAACCAGAAGCUGGUCUUGCACGCUGGUGGAAAAUUUGGUGGUGCCAACAGUGGGUACUCUUUCUCAGGAGGUUUGCACGGUGUCCCAGUUG